GGGGACGUGGUGAAAUUGGUAUACACGCUAGGUUUAGGUUCUAGUGCCGCAAGGUGUGAGAGUUCGAGUCUCUCCGUCCCCACCA
rnacentral:tRNA from 1 species